rnacentral:rRNA from 1 species
GUGGGGAAUCUUGCGCAAUGGGGGCAACCCUGACGCAGCCAUGCCGCGUGAAUGAUGAAGGCCUUAGGGUUGUAAAGUUCUUUUGCCCGUGACGAUGAUGACGGUAACGGGAGAAUAAGCUCCGGCUAACUUCGUGCCAGCAGCCGCGGUAAUACGAAGGGGGCUAGCGUUGUUCGGAAUUACUGGGCGUAAAGCGCGCGCAGGCGGUUCGAUAAGUUAGGGGUGAAAUCCCCGGGCUCAACCCGGGAAUGGCCUUUAAGACUGUCGAGCUAGAGGACGAGAGAGGUGAGUGGAAUUCCCAGUGUAGAGGUGAAAUUCGUAGAUAUUGGGAAGAACACCGGUGGCGAAGGCGGCUCACUGGCUCGUAUCUGACGCUGAGGCGCGAAAGCGUGGGGAGCAAACAGGAUUAGAUACCCGGGUAGUCC